GGAUCUCUUAAAGCUGUUCUCAGUUCGGACUGCAGUCUGCAACUCGACUGCACGAAGCUGGAAUCGCUAGUAAUCGCGGACCAGCACGCCGCGGUAAAUACGUUCCCGGGCCUUGUACACACCGCCCGUCACACCAUGGAAGUCUGCAAUGCCCGAAGCCGGUGGCCUAACCACUUAUGUGGAAGGAGCCGUCUAAGGCAGGGCAGAUGACUGGGGUGAAGUCGUAACAAGGUAUC
rnacentral:rRNA from 1 species